CAUGGUCCAGAGAUGUGAUGUGUUAUAAGCUUGCUGCCUUUAGAGCGAUGGCUAGUAGAAUGUAUACCCAUAUAACAAAAUCUGCAGAUAGAAAAAAUGAGUUAGCAUAUAUAUUAGAUAUAGCGUAUAAAUAUGGAUAUAAGAAAAAUGUUGUAGAAGGUGUUGUAAAGACUGUGGAAAGCAGAUUGAAAAAUACCGGUCAUAAUAGGUCGAUUCCUUGGACCUCAAGGAAUUCUUCUGUCACACCGAUUACAUACUAUCCAUUAACAGAUUAAGGUGCUGACCAGAGCUAUGAAACAAAGUUCCAGGAAGAUGGCGAAAAGAAGAGGGAAUACCAUUUUUGAUAUGAUCCGUAAUGAUAAAGAUAGAAUUGAGAAUACUAAAAAAGCAGGAAUCUAUCAAAUACCGAUUUUUGAUAAUGAUGAGGCCAAGCUGCAAUAUUACAUUGGUAGUA
rnacentral:lncRNA from 1 species